AGCAUAUCAAUAAGCGGAGGAAAAGAAACCAACAGGGAUUGCCUCAGUAACGGCGAGUGAAGCGGCAGCAGCUCAAAUUUGAAAUCUGGCUCUUUCAGGGUCCGAGUUGUAAUUUGUAGAAGAUGCUUUGGGUGUAGCUCCGGUCUAAGUUCCUUGGAACAGGACGUCAUAGAGGGUGAGAAUCCCGUACGUGACUGGUUGCUUUCGCUCGUGUAAAGCUCUUUCGACGAGUCGAGUUGUUUGGGAAUGCAGCUCAAAAUGGGUGGUAAAUUUCAUCUAAAGCUAAAUAUUGGCCAGAGACCGAUAGCGCACAAGUAGAGUGAUCGAAAGAUGAAAAGCACUUUGGAAAGAGAGUUAAACAGUACGUGAAAUUGUUGAAAGGGAAGCGCUUGCAACCAGACUUGCGCGCUGUUGAUCAUCCGAGAUUUUUCCCGGUGCACUCGGCAGCGCUCAGGCCAGCAUCGGUUUUGGUGGGCGGAUAAAGGCCUUGGGAAUGUAGCUUCUUUCGGGGAGUGUUAUAGCCCUCGGUGCAAUGCGCCCUACCGGGACCGAGGACCGCGCUUCGGCUAGGAUGCUGGCGUAAUGGUUGUAAGCGACCCGUCUUGAAACACGGACCAAGGAGUCUAACAUCUAUGCGAGUGUUUGGGUGUCAAACCCAUACGCGUAAUGAAAGUGAACGGAGGUGAGAACCCUUAAGGGUGCAUCAUCGACCGAUCCUGAUGUCUUCGGAUGGAUUUGAGUAAGAGCAUAGCUGUUGGGACCCGAAAGAUGGUGAACUAUGCCUGAAUAGGGUGAAGCCAGAGGAAACUCUGGUGGAGGCUCGCAGCGGUUCUGACGUGCAAAUCGAUCGUCAAAUUUGGGUAUAGGGGCGAAAGACUAAUCGAACCAUCUAGUAGCUGG
rnacentral:rRNA from 1 species